GGAUCAGUAUGCUGGUCGUGCCUUCGGUACUAUGCACUGGUGUCACUGAUUCCUCCCUUCUGAAGAACCGUAAUGCCAUUCAGUUGGUGUGGCGGGGAAUCAGGAUUGUUACUUUGAAAAAAUUAGAGUGUUUAAAGCAGGCUCGCGCUUGAAUACAUUAGCAUGGAAUAAUGAAAUAGGACGUUUGAUCCUAUUUUGUUGGUUUCUAGGAUCGACGUAAU
rnacentral:rRNA from 1 species